UACAGAGGUCUCAAGCGUUGUUCGGAUUCACUGGGUUUAAAGGGUGCGUAGGUGGGCAGUUAAGUCAGUGGUGAAAUCUCCGGGCUCAACCCGGAAACUGCCAUUGAUACUAUCUGUCUUGAAUAUCGUGGAGGUAAGCGGAAUAUGUCAUGUAGCGGUGAAAUGCUUAGAUAUGACAUAGAACACCAAUUGCGAAGGCAGCUUACUACCCGAAUAUUGACACUGAGGCACGAAAGCGUGGGGAUCAAACAGG
rnacentral:rRNA from 1 species